rnacentral:lncRNA from 7 species
AGAUAUUUGGUGCUCAUCAGGGAAAGGAAGAGCCCUACAAUGCUAGAGAGCAUGGGUCUGGGUUCUGGUUCUGAAUGGUUGUGCUGAGAUGUUCUCCUCCUGUUCACCAUUCAAAGCCUAGUGUGGCUGACUGGGAAGACUCGUUGAGCUGUCCUGCUUGCUUCAAAGUUCUAUGUGUCUGAAGGGAAAUGAGCGAAGAGCCGCCGUGGGCUGCAGCAGCGGUUUCUUCACAUAAUCCUGGCGAUGUGUUUUGCUGAUACUUUGCACAAGGGCAUACGAGGUUGCAAAGCCACCUGGGAGAGUGCUGGAGUGGAGCAGAGGGAAGCAACCACAGCGCAGUCUGGUCUAGUGAGACUAAUGGUCAUGUCAGGGGAAAAGUCCUGCUGUGACCCAGCCUCGGUGUGCGUGGCCAAGCCCUGUGCAGACAGCUGCUGGGGAAGGUCCAGGGAAGAACCAGAAGUGAGCUGGCCUUUGGUAGCACCCUGGCAGCCAUCCUACAGCCACAUGAGAGCCACCUAAACAGGAUGUUCUCUCCAGCUUCCAGGACCCCCAGGAUGCAUUCCUGUCGCCAAUGAGAUCUUUACUUCUGUGGCUGAUGGGCUCUGAGUGAGCCCAGUCUGGAGAAGGGCUGCUGUCUCACCUUUCCCCAGCACCUGUGGUGGGAUGAGCUCCCCUCCCAGCAAUGGGCUGCAGAGAGGAGGAGGAAGGACGUGGCUGGGGCAGCCCAGAGCUAUUUGCAGAGCUCUGCUCUUGACCCAGGAGUAGGAUUACAGCCUUCUAGUUACACUUUCCCCGGUGCAAACCAAUGCUGAAACAGUGCUGCGAGGGCUUGGAUGAAGUGCAAGCUUUCUCUCAUAGUGGCCUAAAUAACUGUAUGUGAAUUAUGCUUCACUUACAUUUCUGUGCAGGAACACAGACCUGCUUUUACAUCGCUAGCAAUGCU